AUACUUAACCUGACGGGGAAGAUAUCAUGAUUAUCAAGAUGGUUUUCCCAGGGCAAGACUUAUCCAUUGCAUUUGCAGGUACUGACCCCUUCAAUUUUCCCAAGUGUGGGUAACUCAACCAUGUAAUUUGUAGUAGUUGGGGACAGUGUUUGUGCCCUACCCGG